GAUGCAGAAGAGUGAGACACAAGGCCACCUGGUGGAAGGGGCCAGCCAUCCUCACUGACUUCACCACCUGGAAGGAAGCUAUGGAGGAGAAUUGCCCAGACAAAGACAACUGCAUCAGACUUCGCCUCGUUCUCCUCAAGUACUUGUGGAGUGGUCCUUGACAUUUACAAAAAAGCUGCAGGAGAGACGUGCAAACGCAGUCAACAUGCACCAGACCAGCUCUCUGAAGAAAGAGUUAAUGAACUUACUGUUCCCUUGGGGAGUUUGAGGUGGUGAUUGGAGAUGCUUAGGUGAAAAUUCCUGAUGGAAGGACCCAUAUGAGAGAACAAUACAGAGGGGAAAAAUUGCAGGAACGUUCAGAUGAAAGGUUUCAGCAUGUUGCGUAUGCUAUGCAGGAAGUAUCGCCUAUCCCCAGGAAUUCUCUGUAUAUUUGAAUCCGUGCACAGUUAUGAUUUCAGCAAUAAAGUGAAAAUGAUUGGCUUCUUAUUGUAAUUAUUUAUUUUGUUCCUGUCUUUGUGAACAAGUACUGGGAAAAAAAGACGGGACUUGGCUCCAAUAAAAUUGAGGGUUCGAAUUCUGUCCUUAAUUAAUUAACAUUGUGGCCUUGAGAAGCUCUUCCAUUUCUCCUUACAUCAGCUUUCUCACCCAUAAAUGUGAAUAAAAUGCUAUUUUCCCACAGGAUGAUAUAGAAAAUUAGGCGAGUUAAUGAAUAUUACAUGCUUAGAAGAUGACCUGCAAUAUAGUACAUGUUGAAUAAAAUAUAAUUGUACAGUUCUCAAAAAAGCAUCUGUUCCAAAGCUGGCAGAAACUCUGCUUGGAUAAGUCCUAUUGAAAGUCAAAACUCUACUGGUGAUUAAGGAUCUUUCAAGAAUAAUUUUGACAAUACUUAGUUUUUAUUUUAGGAGCUGGCAAAAUAUUUAAAUACUUGCAAGUAUUCUGGCUUUUAGAAGUUGCAAAUCUUCACGUUUAGAUUUUUAUAUCACUCCAAGUUUUUUCCUCUUAGCAAAAGCAUAAAUAAACGCAGAAUAAAGGCUGUGUUAAUUAGGUAUACGUAUCAAAAACUUUGAGACUUUAGGAAAAGAUGGAAUUAUUCUCAAAAGGGCCACUUAGGCAUAAGGAGGCACUGAAAGGCCUUGGCAAGAUGAUAAGGGAUUAAAAUAAGUGGAACAAAAAAAAUGAAGCCUAUACCUGUCAUGCUUUUUAGUCUCAUGUUCUUUGUGAGAAAGUACUCUGCUUCUGCAUUUUAGGGCUAUGCAAGUUUCUGUGAGAUGUACACCUCCGAAGCUGAACGUUCUGACAACACUUGUAAGAGGUUGAGAUAGUAAAAGAAAACUGGCCUGAGAAUCGCAGGAACACUGAUGUAGAGCAGUGGGGGGCCCGGACUGGGGAUGUUGCUCUGAGCCAUGAUGGGACAGACAUAGAAUUAAGAAUCAUCACCCAAAGGAUUAUAAGUCAUGCUGCUAUAA